GCCGGAAUAGCUCAGUUGGUAGAGCAGGGGACUGAAAAUCCU
rnacentral:tRNA from 2 species